UAGAGUUUGAUCCUGGCUCAGGAUGAACGCUAGCGAUAGGCCUAACACAUGCAAGUCGAGGGGCAGCACAUGAAGUAGCAAUACGGAUGGUGGCGACCGGCGCACGGGUGAGUAACGCGUAUGCAACCUACCUACAACAGGGGGAUAACCCGUUGAAAGACGGACUAAUACCCCAUAAUACAGGGGUCCCGCAUGGGGAUAUUUGUUAAAGAUUAAUCGGUUGUAGAUGGGCAUGCGUUCCAUUAGCUGGUUGGUGAGGUAACGGCUCACCAAGGCAACGAUGGAUAGGGGAACUGAGAGGUUUAUCCCCCACACUGGUACUGAGACACGGACCAGACUCCUACGGGAGGCAGCAGUGAGGAAUAUUGGUCAAUGGACGCAAGUCUGAACCAGCCACGUCGCGUGAAGGAAGACGGCCCUACGGGUUGUAAACUUCUUUUGUAAGGGAAUAAAGUGAGUCACGUGUGACUUUUUGCAUGUACCUUACGAAUAAGGAUCGGCUAACUCCGUGCCAGCCGCCGCGGUAAUUCA
rnacentral:rRNA from 1 species